AAGCUGCGGCAGCGACACUAUGUGUUGUUGGGUAGGGGAGCGUUCUGUAAGCCUGUGAAGGUGUGUCGUGAGGCAUGCUGGAGGUAUCAGAAGUGCGAAUGCUGACAUAAGUAACGAUAAAGCGGGUGAAAAGCCCGCUCGCCGGAAGACCAAGGGUUCCUGUCCAACGUUAAUCGGGGCAGGGUGAGUCGACCCCUAAGGCGAGGCCGAAAGGCGUAGUCGAUGGGAAACGGGUUAAUAUUCCCGUACUUGGUGUUACUGCGAAGGGGGGACGGAGAAGGCUAUGUUGGCCGGGCGACGGUUGUCCCGGUUUAAGCGUGUAGGUGUGUGUUCCAGGUAAAUCCGGUUCACUUUAACACUGAGGCGUGACGACGAGGCACUACGGUGCUGAAGCAACAAAUGCCCUGCUUCCAGGAAAAGCCUCUAAGCAUCAGGUAACAUCAAAUCGUACCCCAAACCGACACAGGUGGUCAGGUAGAGAAUACCAAGGCGCUUGAGAGAACUCGGGUGAAGGAACUAGGCAAAAUGGUGCCGUAACUUCGGGAGAAGGCACGCUGACACGUAGGUGAAGUGAUUUACUCAUGGAGCUGAAGUCAGUCGAAGAUACCAGCUGGCUGCAACUGUUUAUUAAAAACACAGCACUGUGCAAACACGAAAGUGGACGUAUACGGUGUGACGCCUGCCCGGUGCCGGAAGGUUAAUUGAUGGGGUCAGCGCAAGCGAAGCUCCUGAUCGAAGCCCCGGUAAACGGCGGCCGUAACUAUAACGGUCCUAAGGUAGCGAAAUUCCUUGUCGGGUAAGUUCCGACCUGCACGAAUGGCGUAAUGAUGGCCAGGCUGUCUCCACCCGAGACUCAGUGAAAUUGAACUCGCUGUGAAGAUGCAGUGUACCCGCGGCAAGACGGAAAGACCCCGUGAACCUUUACUAUAGCUUGACACUGAACAUUGAGCCUUGAUGUGUAGGAUAGGUGGGAGGCUUUGAAGUGUGGACGCCAGUCUGCAUGGAGCCGACCUUGAAAUACCACCCUUUAAUGUUUGAUGUUCUAACGUGGACCCGUGAUCCGGGUUGCGGACAGUGUCUGGUGGGUAGUUUGACUGGGGCGGUCUCCUCCUAAAGAGUAACGGAGGAGCACGAAGGUUGGCUAAUCCUGGUCGGACAUCAGGAGGUUAGUGCAAUGGCAUAAGCCAGCUUGACUGCGAGCGUGACGGCGCGAGCAGGUGCGAAAGCAGGUCAUAGUGAUCCGGUGGUUCUGAAUGGAAGGGCCAUCGCUCAACGGAUAAAAGGUACUCCGGGGAUAACAGGCUGAUACCGCCCAAGAGUUCAUAUCGACGGCGGUGUUUGGCACCUCGAUGUCGGCUCAUCACAUCCUGGGGCUGAAGUAGGUCCCAAGGGUAUGGCUGUUCGCCAUUUAAAGUGGUACGCGAGCUGGGUUUAGAACGUCGUGAGACAGUUCGGUCCCUAUCUGCCGUGGGCGCUGGAGAACUGAGGGGGGCUGCUCCUAGUACGAGAGGACCGGAGUGGACGCAUCACUGGUGUUCGGGUUGUCAUGCCAAUGGCACUGCCCGGUAGCUAAAUGCGGAAGAGAUAAGUGCUGAAAGCAUCUAAGCACGAAACUUGCCCCGAGAUGAGUUCUCCCUGAGACUUAGAGUCUCCUGAAGGAACGUUGAAGACGACGACGUUGAUAGGCCGGGUGUGUAAGCGCAGCGAUGCGUUGAGCUAACCGGUACUAAUGAACCGUGAGGCUUAACCUUACAACGCCGAAG
rnacentral:rRNA from 1 species